rnacentral:rRNA from 1 species
AGUGAACGCUGGCGGUAGGCCUAACACAUGCAAGUCGAACGGCAGCACAGUAAGAGCUUGCUCUUACGGGUGGCGAGUGGCGGACGGGUGAGGAAUACAUCGGAAUCUACUUUUUCGUGGGGGAUAACGUAGGGAAACUUACGCUAAUACCGCAUACGACCUACGGGUGAAAGCAGGGGAUCUUUGGACCUUGCGCGAUUGAAUGAGCCGAUGUCGGAUUAGCUAGUUGGCGGGGUAAAGGCCCACCUAAGCGACGAUCCGUAGCUGGUCUGAGAGGAUGAUCAGCCACACUGGAACUGAGACACGGUCCAGACUCCUACAGGAGGCAGCAGUGGGGAAUAUUGGACAAUGGGGGCAAGCCUGAUCCAGCCAUACCGCGUGGGUGAAGAAGGCCUUCGGGUUGUAAAGCCCUGUUGUUGGGAAAGAAAAGCAGCAGGUUUAUACCCCGCUGUUCUGACGGUACCCAAAGAAUAAGCACCGGCUAACUUCGUG